UCGAGAAUAGUCUACAAUGGUCGAAAGACUGAUAGUGCGACGCCGCGUGAACGAAGAAUCCCUUCGGGGUGUAAAGUUCUUUUUUAAUCGAGCAAUGCCUUUUAUGUGAUAAGCAUGAGAGGAGAGAUAUUAGGUUAAGAAUAAGCAACGGCUAACUCCGUGCCAGCAGCCGCGGUAACACGGGGGUUGCAAGCGUUGUCCGGAAUUACUAGGCGUAAAGGGCAGGUAGGCGGAUAUAUAAGUUUUGUGUUAAAGGCAUCGGCUUAACCGGUGUAAGGCAUAGGAUACUGUAUAUCUGGAAUGCGGUUGAGGAAGACAGAAUUCCUGGUGUAGCGGUGGAAUGCGCAGAGAUCAGGAGGAAUACCAAAGGCGAAGGCAGUCUUCUAAGCCGAUAUUGACGCUGAGGUGCGAAAGUGUGGGGAUCAAACA
rnacentral:rRNA from 1 species